rnacentral:rRNA from 1 species
UACGUAGGCAGCAAGCGUUGUUCGGAUUUACUGGGCGUAAAGAGCUCGUAGGUGGUUUGUCGCGUUGUUCGUGAAAACCGGGGGCUUAACCCUCGGCGUGCGGGCGAUACGGGCAGACUUGAGUACUGCAGGGGAGACUGGAAUUCCUGGUGUAGCGGUGAAAUGCGCAGAUAUCAGGAGGAACACCGGUGGCGAAGGCGGGUCUCUGGGCCUUACCUGACGCUGAGACGCGAAAGCGUGGGGAGCGAACCGG